ACCCGCACAAGCGGUGGAGCAUGUGGUUUAAUUCGAAGCAACGCGAAGAACCUUACCAACUCUUGACAUCCCCCUGACCGGUACAGAGAUGUACUUUCCCCUUCGGGGCAGGGGUGACAGGUGGUGCAUGGUUGUCGUCAGCUCGUGUCGUGAGAUGUUGGGUUAAGUCCCGCAACGAGCGCAACCCUUGUCCUUAGUUGCCACCAUUCAGUUGGGCACUCUAAGGAGACUGCCGGUGACAAACCGGAGGAAGGUGGGGAUGACGUCAAAUCAUCAUGCCCCUUAUGAGUUGGGCUACACACGUGCUACAAUGGACGGUACAAAGGGCAGCGAAGCCGCGAGGUGGAGCCAAUCCCAGAAAGCCGGUCGUAGUCCGGAUCGUAGUCUGCAACUCGACUACGUGAAGUCGGAAUCGCUAGUAAUCGCGGAUCAGCUUGCCGCGGUGAAUACGUUCCCGGGUCUU
rnacentral:rRNA from 1 species